ACCCUUUUCUCUGGUUCCCUGUAAUUAAGCAGGCUUAAGUGAUUUCUCCUGUGUGCUGCUGGGUACUGUGAAGGAAACUCAGGCAAGUUCUGAAAGUGCGACAUGAUGAGGAUAUUGUCACUUCCCACAGAGGUGAGGAGCGGGAUCGGGUGUGCUGGGUCCUACGGAAGGCUGGGUCGGAACCAGCAGCUACAUGCAGGCACCUGUGAGUUGCCUCGUGGUUUUAGCCGCUUCUGGACCCAACGGUGGCACCUGCAUAACUUCGCUAUCUGGGCUGAAUAUUCACAAAACCUUUCGAGCAGGGUCCUGUGUAUAGAAACACCCUUAGCAGGAUGCCAAAGUCAGACAGGCUAAGUUUCUUUCGUGUAUUCUACAAGUUCUUCUCUUGGCAUUUAGCAUUUUGGUUGUCAUUCAUUUCGAGUUAAAUUUGUCUACGUUUAAUAUGUAUCUCAUGUGUUUGGUGAAUUAAAGUACAUUUUUUUCAAU
rnacentral:lncRNA from 1 species